UCCAGACUCCUACGGGAGGCAGCAGUGGGGGAUAUUGCACAAUGGGGGAAACCCUGAUGCAGCGACGCCGCGUGGGCGAAGAAGUAUUUCGGUAUGUAAAGCCCUAUCAGCAGGGAAGAAGAAAUGACGGUACCUGAAGAAGAAGCCCCGACUAACUACGUGCCAGCAGCCGCGGUAAUGCGUAGGGGGCAAGCGUUAUCCGGAUUUACUGGGUGUAAAGGGGGCGCAGACGGCGAUGCAAGCCAGGAGUGAAAGCCCGGGGCCCAACCCCGGGACUGCUCUUGGAACUGCGUGGCUGGAGUGCAGGAGGGGCAGGCGGAAUUCCUGGUGUAGCGGUGAAAUGCGUAGAUAUCAGGAGGAACACCGGUGGCGAAGGCGGCCUGCUGGACUGCAACUGACGUUGAGGCCCGAAAGCGUGGGGAGCAAACAGGAUUAGAUACCCCAGUA
rnacentral:rRNA from 1 species